GUGUUCACUUUAGCAGGACAUGUGCUAAAACUGGAACAAUAGAGAAGAUUUAGCAUGGCUCCUGCACAAGGAUGACACAGUACAUUGGUGAGUUGUUCCAUAUUUUU
ensembl:snRNA U6 U6 spliceosomal RNA